CAGACCCGUGACUAGUGACCACGUCUGUGGUCCAAAUAAGCAUCAUGACCGGGAGAACGCGCUGAUUGGAAACCCUCCACAUUGACUCACGCCGCGGUGCCCCACCAAGAAUUGCUCCCCGUCACCAAGCCUUCAAGCAUCGCCACGCACCAGCGCACGGCCAGAGAGGCGUACCUGGUGGCGCCAUCAAGCAGAUUGGAUGAUGGAGUACUUAAUGUCGGUCUACGGACGUUCUCUGUGGCCUGG